ensembl:ncRNA F47F2.8 ncRNA
GUCAUUGAGCACAAAAAAGAGUGACCAUCGGCAAGUUCAGGUCAUUUGGCAACCAUAUGUCCGUCAUACGCAUUCUCUCAGAAAUUCAUUGAAUUGGAAUUUGUAGAGGAGGAUCCAUCCGGACCGAGAGAGGAAGAGUGAGGCUCCUCUUCUGCUGCAUGUCG